GAUUUAUGUAAGGUCAUGGAAAUAGCAUUUCCCAAAUAAAGCGUUUAGCUGAUGGACUUUUAUCUGUACACAUUAGGGUUGUACAAGAGCUGAUCAAUAUAUCCCACUAAGAAAAGGAGAGCAGUGUUAGCCUGGCAAAUUUGAAUCCUGAAGGCAAAUAAGUAAAUACCUCUGGAGAUGAGAGGAGAUAAGGUUGCAGAGGUGAAGAAGAAUAGGACGAAGGACAGAACUGUCAGGAACAGCAGGGCACAGCAUGACGAAGAGGUGAUGGCAAAGGGGAAGACCACUGAGGUUCGAGAACCUGAGCUCAGCACAUAGGCUGCGAAGGAGAGCUGCAAGGAAAAAGGUCUCAGGUAGGGAAUAAAACCCAGGAAGAAUGAGGAUCAAGAACAGAUGACUGUGUCUGGAAGUCAAAAGCUCCCUGUGACCUUCAGAAAACUAGCUCCAGGAACUGGUGGGAAGCAGAAGCCAGCCCGUAAGGACAUGAAGAAGGCUCUUUCUAUGAAACUAGUGCCCAUCACAAACAGGAUGGAACUGAGCACCCACCACACGCCCAGAACACAUGUCACCAUUUCGCGACUACAUGGAAACCUGACCGCUAGCACUGAUCCAAUCUAGAGGAGUCUAUGUAAAUAGCAGCUGUGCAGCUGGACUCUGCCUCCACUCCUCAGAAAGUCGAUGUUCUCGCUAGCCCAGACUGGAUUUCUGCAUAUGAUCUCCAUGCCUUGCCUGCUGUGAUAUAUCUUUAUACUCAAAGAAUUGUACACUUUUCAUUUUGAACAUGAAAUAACAUCCAGACUCUCACUGGAAGACUCCUGGCCGACUAGAGCACCACCUGUUCUUGAUAUUUUUUCAACCAAUUAAGCAUUUAAAUUGUUUCUCAUCUAAACUGGAUUUGCUUUUAUUAUUUUUUCCUUGCCAUUUUUCUUUGCCACAGCCAUCAACAAUACCUAGCAAACAACUGCUUAAUGUGCUACGGAAACAAAAGUGCGGUUGUGCGGAAGCAGAAACGAGAGGGGAUGGGGUGGAGUGGAGAGAAGGCGAGCUGGAACCCGGGGCUGACUUGCGUCAGGGGACCUUGGUCAGGUGAGAGAGGAUUUGGUUUCCUCCGCCAUAAACUGAGGUUAAGAUGAGGCCUCUGAACUUUCACAAGGUGAAACCGGCACCAUCCUCCUUGAGAACCUUCACUUCCUCUUGGCUCAGAAGAAGAAGAGCUCCUCCUUCAUUCCAAGAGUCUCUCUUCCAUUUGAGAUUUUGAGUUCACCCGGCUCAAUCANNNNNNNNNNNNNNNNNNNNNNNNNNNNNNNNUUUCCCUUAAAUCCCUGAACCCCUUUUUUCCCGUUAAUUUCUUCCCUUUUUCUACCAAAAGCCCCACCACCUAUUCACUGUCAAGAACUAACCAAUGACUUCUACGGCUUCUGUCUCUGCAAUUCAAUUAAAUUUUCCACUGACUCCAUAUUCCUUUCUUUGCAGCUAAUCCAUUUUCAACCACCCCAAUUUUCAAGUGAUUUGAAAAAUAGGUAUGAGAGAUCUGGUGGUUCAACACAGACUCAAGAAAACAUUCUGUUCUUAAAGAACCAUGUGUUGCAAAUGACCUGUUAAGACAGCAGCACUGUAGUUACAUUAGUCAAUAUAUACUUAACAAACUUGUUUUAAACAGACCAUAUUUCUAUUUUUCCAUGAAAUUAAUCAGAAGCUUUCAUGGAAACCUUUAUAAAACAUGAUUGCAUGAAUGUAAUUUUUAAUUUAAUUUGCACUUAAGUAAAUAGGUUAAAUUUUUUUCAACCAAAUACUAAUUUCUUUUCCUUGGCUUGUGGUUUUUUAAAUUUAUGGUUGAUUUUGCCAGACUUGAAAAAUACAUGAGAGGUCAAUCCUCCUCUUAAAAGGACUAGACUAAACUUAAGAUUUGUGUCAGUGAAAGACAACAGCAGACCAGGUUUGCAGCUCUCUCUGGAAUAGAAAGUACAGAGUUUUGACUAUCUUUGCCCCAAAACAUCGAGAAACUCAAGGUUUGUCUCCUCUGCUCCCUCAUUAAGGAAGCCCUGAACCUGCUCCCCACAAAGCCUCAGGAUGAAGGAGCAGGCAUUGACAGGCCCAGCAAAGGUGCAGCAGCUUUCAAAGUGCUUUCAGCAAGAGUUCCCACUGUGGUACAGUGGGUUAAGAAUCUGACUGCAGCAGGUUGGGACACUGCAGAGAUGCAGGUUUGAUCCCUGCCCCAGUGCAGUCGGUUAAAGGAUCCAAUCUCUUUAUAAUACUUUCAAAAAAAAACAAGACCAUUAGCAACUUCAGGAUAAGAAUGUGCUACAAGAGAAUAUUCUAAAAUAAAGAAAAAUCAAGCAGAACCACUAAGAGAUUAUGCCUGCUUUUUGACAGAGUUGGGAGGAAGGAUAAAGAGUUUACUUUCGUGUGUCAGAGGAAAGAAAACUUGAUGGCAUGUGGGAAGGGGGGCCUGUGAAAUUAGACAAAUGCUAAACAAAGUUGGGACUUAAGCUUUCUCUCUCUCCUCCCCCUUCCUCCCCCAAAUUCUGCUGAAACCGUUGGGAGGAGAUACUAACUGGCAUUUGGGGAGGAGUCAGAGAGUAGCCUCUGCUGCCCUCGUUUCUGGUGGAAGAAUUGCGGGCUUAGAAGAAGCUUUUAGGAGAGACAAUGGAUGGCCUUCAGAAAGCCCCAGCUGUGGCUUAGGUCACAGCUGUGGCUCAGAUUCAGUCCCUGGUCUGGGAACGUCCAUAUGCCGUAGGUGCAGCCAUAAAAUAAAAAUUAAAAACAUAAAAUUUUUUAAAACGUGCUUUCAGUAAAUAAUCUCAUUUUAUUCUCAUCCCUCUAGGGAAGCAGAAGGGGCAGAUAAACAAUCCCCCUUCUCUGCCCAUAGUCUCCCAGUGUCACAUAAAAGAUACUCUUCCUCACCUUCAUUCAUGAAUUCGUGCAUCCGAAAACAUUUAUUGUGCACUUACCGCCUGCCAGCAACUGCUCUGGAUCGCAAAAUGUGAUCCUCAGGCCAGCAGCAUGAGCAAUACCUGAGAACUUGUGAGAAAUGCACAUUUUCAGCCUUAACCCACACCUCCUGAACGAGAAACCCUGGGUGCGAGCCGGCAAUCUGUGAUUUAACAAGCCCUCCAGGUGACUCUGAUGCCUGCUAAAGUCCGAGAACCAGUGUUCUAGAUAUGAAUGUGAGUGCUACCCAUGCCUCAGCCUCAGAAGGUUCUCUAGGUCAGCAGAAUAGAUGGGCAAGUAAAUAAAUCACUGGAACAUAAUGAACAACAUCCGGACUAAUACCAACACAGAAGCAAAACAAAGUAAGCCGGCCAAUAGCAUUCAGAGAAGACCAACUGACUCUAAAGCACUGCACUGUGAAGAAUUAUGGGGGAAAAAGGAGUAAAACACAGGAAAAGCUCUCUAAUGCUAGCUAGGCUCUCAGGCCUCUGGGUCCCAUGGGCUCGUCAGCGAACAAUGCCAACUACAACAUCAAAAGUGCUGCAACAGAUCUCAUCCCCACAGAGGCUCUCUGAAUCUCCUUCCGAAAAUUGCGACCCUUUGCUCCCACUCUGCAAGGAGGUUAAGACCAGACUUGAAAUCAAAUACUGAGAAUUUCAAAAAGGGUGGAUUCCAGGGCUGCUGCAGUUUAUUUUCUUUGGGGUAAGCUGGUAAGAAAUUCUCUGAGUGGAAGGAAGGUGAGUGUCUUUUACUUCGUUACCCGCUUCCCUAUAACACCAACAACUUCCUUCGGAGGGGAAAACGCAACGGCCGUCUCUGUCUUCGGAACUGUGAGGCGAGGAGAGGGGUUUGAGGAGUUUUCUUUAGUGUUUCUCCACGCAGAUUUUGAUGGGAGCCUACAUGCAAACACAGCAGCAUUACUCCUUGGUAAUUAGUGCUUUCCCACUUGCACAGCAAUUCAUUUGCAUUGCCUAUUUCUCUUCCUUUGGUCCAAUCCUAUGACCAAAGGCUCUCUUUCAAUUCUUACUGGGAGAGAACUCAAGAAACCUUGAAGGAUGAGUGUUAUGGUUUGAAUUGUGUCCUCCUAAAAGUCAGACGUUCAAACUUAACCCUCAGUAUCUCGGAACUUGGAAACAAGUAAUCAGAAGAUAUAAUUAGUUAAGGAGUUCCCGUCAUGGCACAGUGGUUAACGAAUCCGACUAGGAACCAUGAG
ensembl:lncRNA